rnacentral:rRNA from 1 species
UACACGACCGUACCGCAAACCGACACUGGUGCGCGAGAUGAGUAUUCUAAGGCGCUUGAGAGAACUCAGGAGAAGGAACUCGGCAAAUUGACACCGUAACUUCGGAAGAAGGUGUGCCUUUAGUAGGUGAACCAUUUACUUGGGGAGCCCAAUGAGGCUGCAAAAAAUCGGUGGCUGCAACUGUUUAUUAAAAACACAGCACUCUGCUAAGACGAAAGUCGACGUAUAGGGUGUGACGCCUGCCCGGUGCUGGAAGAUUAAAUGAUGGGGUGCAAGCUCUUGAUUGAAGUCCCAGUAAACGGCGGCCGUAACAAUAACGGUCCUAAGGUAGCGAAAUUCCUUGUCGGGUAAGUUCCGACCUGCACGAAUGGCGUAAUGAUGGCCACACUGUCUCCUCCUGAGACUCAGCGAAGUUGAAAUGUUUGUGACGAUGCAAUCUCCCCGCGGAAAGACGGAAAGACCCCAUGAACCUUUACUGUAGCUUUGUAUUGGACUUUGAACAGAUCUGUGUAGGAUAGGUGGGAGGCUUUGAAGUGUGGUCGCUAGAUCGCAUGGAGCCAACGUUGAAAUACCACCCUGGUGUGUUUGAGGUUCUAACCUAGGUCCAUUAUCUGGAUCGGGGACAGUGCAUGGUAGGCAGUUUGACUGGGGCGGUCUCCUCCCAAAGUGUAACGGAGGAGUUCGAAGGUACGCUAGGUACGGUCGGACAUCGUGCUAAUAGUGCAAUGGCAUAAGCGUGCUUAACUGCGAGACUGACAAGUCGAGCAGAUGCGAAAGCAGGACAUAGUGAUCCGGUGGUUCUGUAUGGAAGGGCCAUCGCUCAACGGAUAAAAGGUACUCUGGGGAUAACAGGCUGAUACCGCCCAAGAGUUCAUAUCAACGGCGGUGUUUGGCACCUCGAUGUCGGCUCAUCUCAUCCUGGGGCUGUAGCCGGUCCCAAGGGUAUGGCUGUUCGCCAUUUAAAGAGGUACGUGAGCUGGGUUUAAAACGUCGUGAGACAGUUUGGUCCCUAUCUUCCGUGGGCGCUGCAGAUUUGAGGAAGCCUGCUCCUAGUACGAGAGGACCGGAGUGGACGAACCUCUGGUGUAUCGGUUGUCACGCCAGUGGCAUUGCCGAGUAGCUAAGUUCGGAAGAGAUAACCGCUGAAAGCAUCUAAGCGGGAAACUCGUUUCAAGAUUAGAUCUGCCGGGGCCUUGAGCCCCCUAAAGAGUCGUUCAAGACCAGGACGUUGAUAGGUCAGGUGUGGAAGC